AGUGAACGCUGGCGGUAGGCCUAACACAUGCAAGUCGAACGGCAGCACAGUAAGAGCUUGCUCUUACGGGUGGCGAGUGGCGGACGGGUGAGGAAUACAUCGGAAUCUACUUUUUCGUGGGGGAUAACGUAGGGAAACUUACGCUAAUACCGCAUACGACCUACGGGUGAAAGCAGGGGAUCUUCGGACCUUGCGCGAGUGAAUGAGCCGAUGUCGGAUUAGCUAGUUGGCGGGGUAAAGGCCCACCAAGGCGACGAUCCGUAGCUGGUCUGAGCGGAUGAUCAGCCACACUGGAACUGAGACACGGUCCAGACUCCUACGGGAGGCAGCAGUGGGGAAUAUUGGACAAUGGGCGCAAGCCUGAUCCAGCCAUACCGCGUGGGUGAAGAAGGCCUUCGGGUUGUAAAGCCCUUUUGUUGGGAAAGAAAAGCAGCAGGUUAAUACCCCGCUGUUCUGACGGUACCCAAAGAAUAAGCACCGGCUAACUUCGUG
rnacentral:rRNA from 1 species